ACGGUCCUAAGGUAGCGAAAUUCCUUGUCGGGUAAGUUCCGACCUGCACGAAUCGUGUAACGAGUUGGGCGCUGUCUCUGGGAGAUGCUCAGUGAAAUUGUAGUCGCGGUCAAGAUGCCGCGUUCCCGCAGCAGGACGGAAAGACCCUAUGGACCUUUACUAUGUAACCUGGUAUUGGUGUUUGACUUUUAAUGCGUAGGAUAGGUGGGAGGCUUUGAUCCGAUUCUUCAGGGGAUCGGGGAGCCAACGUUGAAAUACCACUCUUUAUAAGUUAGGCAUCUAACUCUGGACCAUUAUCUGGUCAGAGGACAUUGCUAGGGGGUUAGUUUGACUGGGGCGGUCUCCUCCAAAAAGGUAACGGAGGAUUACGAAGGUCUCCUCAUGCCGGUUGGCAAUCGGCAGUUGAGCACAUGAGUAUAAGGAGGCUUUACUGUGAGACCAACAAGUCGAGCAGUUGCGAAAGCAGGUUCAAGUGAUCCGGUGGUUUAAUGUGGAAUUGCCAUCGCUUAAAGGAUAAAAGGUACCCUAGGGAUAACAGGCUGAUAGCGCCCAAGCGUUAAUAGCGACGGCGCUGUUUGGCACCUCGAUGUCGGCUCGUCACAUCCUGGGGCUGGAGAAGGUCCCAAGGGUUCGGCUGUUCGCCGAUUAAAGUGGCACGUGAGCUGGGUUCAGAACGUCGUGAGACAGUUUGGUCCUCUAUCCGCUGUGGGCGUUGGAAAUUUGAGGGGUUCAUUUCUUAGUACGAGAGGACCGGAAAUGACGAACCGCUGGUGUUCCGGUUAUUGUGUCAGCAGUAGCGCCGGGUAGCUAAGUUCGGACUGGAUAAGCGCUGAAAGCAUCUAAGCGCCAAGCCAUUCCCAAGAUGAGAUUUCCUUGAAGGUAACUUCGUGAGAGUCCUGGUAGACCACCAGGUUGAUAGGUCGGAUGUGUAAGCGUAGUAAUAUGUUCAGCUAACCGAUACUAAUGACUCGAAGACUUUUCAUU
rnacentral:rRNA from 1 species